UUAGUAUACUGAACAAAACAGAACGAUCAGCAACAAGGAAAAUGUUUGCAAAGUAUUUGUUCGCGUUCACACUGGUAAUGCUAUGUUUAGCAUUGACUUUUGGAGAAGAAGUGUCGGUAAAAUAUCAAAAAUGCAUCGCUGACUGCGAACGUAAAAAUGAAGAAAUUGCAAAAAAUAUGAGCCAAUCUUUCGCCCGAACUCGCCGCGCGAUAUGGUGUCAUGGCGUUUGCAGCAAACAGGAUUAAUCAAGCUUCACGUUCUUAAAAUUAAAUAUACAUUUGACGAUGCGGUAUAAAAGAAUUUACAUUAAUUAAUAAAAGUAUUUGAUAAAACAUUAUGAAUUAUUUCAAUAAUAUUUCCUUAAAUUAACUAUAUUCUACAGUCAUGCAAUGUAACUAAUUAUUACUCAAUCAUUAUUAAAUUUAUAAGUGGAGAUAUUCCAUUUAAAAAAAUUAACGUUCACUAAAAACUAGUGAUAAUUUUUAAACAGUAAAACUGGAAAUGUCUAAGGUUAUUCUGAAAAAGAAGGGUAUUCUGGAGGAGGGUUUCAUAAGUU